rnacentral:rRNA from 1 species
GAUGAACGCUGGCGGCGUGCCUAAUACAUGCAAGUCGAGCGAAUGGAUUAAGAGCUUGCUCUUAUGAAGUUAGCGGCGGACGGGUGAGUAACACGUGGGUAACCUGCCCAUAAGACUGGGAUAACUCCGGGAAACCGGGGCUAAUACCGGAUAACAUUUUGAACCGCAUGGUUCGAAAUUGAAAGGCGGCUUCGGCUGUCACUUAUGGAUGGACCCGCGUCGCAUUAGCUAGUUGGUGAGGUAACGGCUCACCAAGGCAACGAUGCGUAGCCGACCUGGGAGGGUGAGCGGCCACACUGGGACGGAGACACGGCCCAGACUCCUACGGGAGGCAGCAGUAGGGAAUCUUCCGCAAUGGACGAAAGUCUGACGGAGCAACGCCGCGUGAGUGAUGAAGGCUUUCGGGUCGUAAAACUCUGUUGUUAGGGAAGAACAAGUGCUAGUUGAAUAAGCUGGCACCUUGACGGUACCUAACCAGAAAGCCACGGCUAACUACGUGCCAGCCGCCGCGGUAA